UACGGGGGGAGCAAGCGUUGUUCGGAUUUACUGGGCGUAAAGGGCGCGUAGGCGGGCGGUCAAGUCAGGGGUGAAAGCCCCCAGCUCAACUGGGGAAGUGCCUCUGAUACUGACCAUCUCGAGGGAGGUAGGGGCGUGCGGAACUUCCGGUGGAGCGGUGAAAUGCGUAGAUAUCGGAAGGAACGUCGGUGGCGAAAGCGGCGCGCUGGACCUCUUCUGACGCUGAGGCGCGAAAGCCAGGGGAGCAAACGGG
rnacentral:rRNA from 1 species